rnacentral:pre_miRNA from 1 species
CGUUCCAGAAGUGCGUUUACAUUAGUGUCUUAAGAAAUCUGUAAAUGCAUUUUCUGGAAUGUA